ACAGACUAUAUAAAACAACAGACAGCGCUUUUCCGUCUCUUGAGUGCAAGAUAAAGAAGAACGAUGGUGGGCUUUCACAGGAAUACGAUGAAUCCUGACCAUCACGGUGUCUGCAUUGACGGUACAAUACAGGUCAAAGGGAUGAGCUACUCUAUGAAGAACAAGUGGACCUCUUGAAGGCAA